GACGAACGCUGGCGGCGUGCCUAACACAUGCAAGUCGAACGGAGUUACUUAGGACGGAGGAUUCGUCCAAAGAUCUUUGUAACUUAGUGGCGAACGGGUGAGUAACGCGUGAGCAAUCUGCCUCGGAGUGGGGGACAACAGUUGGAAACGACUGCUAAUACCGCAUAAUGUGCCGGUGGGGCAUCCCGCUGGUACCAAAGCUUUAUGUGCUCUGAGAUGAGCUCGCGUCUGAUUAGAUAGUUGGUGGGUAACGGCCUACCAAGUCGACGAUCAGUAGCCGGACUGAGAGGUUGAACGGCCACAUUGGGACUGAGAUACGGCCCAG
rnacentral:rRNA from 1 species